AAUCAAUGAGCUUGAGUUUAAGCAUAUGUUUUGAAAACAUAAGAUAAAAAAAAUAUUUUAUUGGUUU